rnacentral:lncRNA from 1 species
CAGGGGCCCACCACCAUGCCUGGCUGAUUUUUGUAUUUUUAGUAGGGAUGGGGUUUCACCAUGUUGGCCAGGCUGGCCUCAAACUCCUGACCUCAGGUGAUCCACCCACCUCGGCCUCCCAAAGUGCUGGGAUUGGAUGCUGCUUCAGAAACUGGUAUGUCCAGGGGAGGCAGGAAUCCUGUACUCAUCCUGGAAUUUCACACCAGCUCCUCACUUUCCCCCAAGCUGCCUCUGCAGGGGUGAGACUGAUCAGACCCACAGCGAGGGAGAGGAACCAGAUAUGAAUAGCUCAUGCCCGACUCCGUGAUGGGUCCUCCUGGGCUCCGUCUGCAGAGGAGGUGUCCUGUGGCCAUUAGUGCUACUCGUGGGAAGUGGGCACUUCUGAGGUGUGGUGUCAGGAAGCCCACUGUGGUCACACGCCUGAGCCAUGCUCUGCAGACGCCAACGUGGCUGAUGUUUUCGUCCAUCUUCUCUGUCCGAGCUGGUUCAGGACUUCAGGAUGAGUCACUUAUUGAACCUUCAAGCCCUAGUAUAAUUUGGCACAGUGGUAACGACCAUGGAUCCCAGAGUGAAACUAAGCAGUCCAGAUCCCUGCACCUCUGCAGUGGUGCAGACACGCACCCAUUGUGCAAACCCUCUAUGACUUACAAAUUGCACAUCUGUAAAAUGGGGUAUCGGCCACCCCGAAUGCUGGCAAAGAUGAAUGAGAUAAUCACAGCCUGGCACAGUGCUAGACCUCUGUGCAUUACUGUUACCUCAAUAAUCAUCAUUAUUAUUCCACAAUAUAGAGCCCAGUAGUUUGGCUCUCGUUACUUGGGAAGACCCUGAUGAUGACUGAGCUUCUCAGUCAAAACGGGGCCCCUGGUGUAGUGAGUGUGACUGUGCUUGUGUGAGCUCCAGAUGGCAUUUACAACGGGGGGACCUUGAACAUCCAUGAGGUGGGCCCCUGGCCUCACUGACAGCCCUUCACCAGCUACCCCUGCUCUGUUUCCAGGAAACACACGGUCUGCUGAAUGAUAGGGCACCCCUAGCUGAAAGAGUUUCCUGAACUGAGUAACCUCAACAGAAAAACACAGAAAGAUCAACCAGACAGGGCAGAGGAGGAAAAACCACCCACGAGGAAGAUGCCAGGGGGCUUGUUGCCAGGAUGCCGGUAGCCUGGGUAUAAAGGCCACCUAAGGAAGCAGGCUCCAGACCAGCCCUGUCCUCUGCGCCCCCCACCUGUCCACACUCCAUCAUGUGCCACACCAGCCACUCUUCGGGCUGCCCAAUGGCCUGCCCUGGCUCCCCGUGCUGUGUCCCCAGCACCUGCUACCCACCCGAGGGCUAUGGGACCUCCUGCUGCUGCUCAGCCCCCUGUGUGGCUCUGCUGUGCCGGCCCCUGUGUGGGGUAUCCACCUGCUGCCAGCCAGCCUGCUGUGUGCCCAGCCCCUGCCAGGUGGCCUGCUGUGUGCCUGUGAGCUGCAAGCCUGUUUUGUGUGUGGCUUCCUUCUGCCCAACCUCUGGGUGCUGCCAGCCCUUCUGCCCCACCCUGGUCUAUAGACCUGUCACCUGGAGCACCCCCACUGGCUGCUGAGCAGGUGGCCUCCUAUGACCCUCGUAGGUGCGAGGUCAGAAGCCAGCAGGCUCUCUGAACUCCUGCCAGGCAGUCCCCACAUCCUCCCACAGCAAACUGUCGUCACCUGACUAGACCGCCUGCCUCCUUUGCGGCACCGUCACUAGAUCCCAGCCGGUGAGGCCAUGCGCCUUUCUACACAGUUUCUCCUGGGUUCACAGCCUGGGCCAUCCACAGGGCCCUCCGCACUGUCUGAUGUUAGGUCUCUUGCAAAUAUCAUAAAUACCAGAUGCUGAGUGCUCACCUGAGUCUGUGUGAUGCCUUCUCCUCAGUGUCUUUCCCACACUCCUUCCUCAGGAGGUACCUUCCCCAGGAUUCUGGAAAGCUCCUUCCCUGCAGAGAAGGGGCAGGUACCAGAUGAAUGUUAGGCCUGGUGAGCGGCCUCUCAACAGCACCCUCUCGGGCUAGUGGGCCGUGCUCCUGAGCUUGGCCUGAUGGGAACCCCCAACCCCAGUCACAUCAGGCUUCCUUCGUCCCACUUUGUUCCUUAAAUGUAUGAGGUCAGUUCUUACUCUCUUCUGGGUGAGAUUGAGGACAAAUCACUAAUUUUGUAGUUUGAUCCAUUUUAGGUAAAACGGGCCAUCUGCUUAUUAGCUGGUAUGUGCAACCCACUCUUGUCAAGAAAUUAAAACCUUAAACUAAAUUUAAAUCUAUAGCUACUCCUUCAUCCAACUGGAUGGGAAAGAGGUUUGUGGUGUUGAUAAAAAAAGCUUUUAAGGAAUUAAAGUGAGCUUUACUCAGAAGUUUUACCGAGGACUAUAGAAGAGUGAGGUUUCUAGCCGGGGGCAGCUCUGUCAGAGAUUCCGGCUCCGUGUUUCAGCUCACACCAGCCCGGGGGCAGCCCUGUCAGAGGCUCCGCCCCGGGUUUCAGCUCACAGUUCAUAUGCAGGUGGCGGGAGGUCAGCACGUGCAGAUCACAUGAAACUGGCUCAGAAGCUGCAUCAAAGCAGAAUCACAUCCGGGUUUGGGGGCAGGAGCACAUCUGGUUAUGGACCGCAGAGGCAUCAUCACUCGCCCUAUAAGACGUUAUCUUGUUCAGGAAAAGGCAAGGACUAGCAUCAUUUAUCUUUCUUUUUUUUUGAGAUGGAGUCUCGCUCUGUCACCAGGCUGGAGUGCAGCGGCGUGAUCUCAGCUCACUGCAAGCUCCACCUCCCAAGUUCACGCCAUUCUUCUGCCUCAGCCUCCCGAGUAUCUGGGACUACAGGUGCCCGCCGCCACGCUUGGUUAAUUUUUUUUGUAUUUUUAGUAGAGACGGGGUUUCACCGUGUUAGCCAGGAUGGUUUUGAUCUCCUGACCUUGUGAUCCACCCGCCUCGGCCUCCCAAAGUGCUGGGAUUACAGGUGUGAGCCACCACACCCCGCCAGAAGACUCUACAUUUUAACCCUAUAUUUGCAGGUUGAUGAUUCUGAGUUCUGACUUUUCCUUGAUAUAAUUUAACUAUUUAAAAAUGUGUACAAGAAUGGGCCAUGAUAUGUAGUCAACUGGAGUCCCAGAAAACCUGGCACGCCUUAAUGUUUGAGAAUCCCAGUUUUGGCCAUUUCAGUGUUCAAUCUCCUUUAGCUAACCCCUUACUUCUAGAAAGAUACUUGCAAGUAUAGACUCUGUAUGGGUUACACAUGAAGCCAUUCCUACCUAGUAUCUUUCAACGAGGAGAAUUCCCCCUUCGUAAGACAUAAAAAGUCUCACAGAAGAAUGUACCCCUUCAGCAAGAAGUAAAAUGAACUAACUGAAUACAACUCAGGACUCUCAACCAAGUGGGAGGUCAGAGACUCAGGAGAGAGUCACUCAGUCACCUGUAACCAUGGAGGAGCCGUGGGGGCUCAAGUGGCCUGUGCUGGUACCGGGGUGCUG